rnacentral:misc_RNA from 1 species
GUGAAUCAUCAAAUUUUUGAACGCAAAUUGCACUCUCUGGGAUGCCGGAGAGUAUGCCUGGUUGAGGGUCAGUUUAAAUAAAAAUCGGGGUGGUUGCUGCCUUUCGUGGUGACGCACCGGAUUUUGGUCGUCUUGCCUUCGUUUAAGGGACCUAAAAUUUUGCAUGGUUUUUUUCGAACUUAUUUAAAUUAUUUUACAUACUUUUGGGAUAUCUAAUUCUUGGUGUGGGCAUCCGCAUUAUUUGC